ACAUAGCCACACCACAUUUUUAGUCUUUAUUUUUUAAGUAAAUUCCAUUGAAUCAAAUAUAACAAAAUUACAGUUUUUGUUUGUAAUGAUCUUUGUUCACCACCACACAAUCAUAGUAGAAUCGAAAGGAAUAUGAGAACAUAAAAUGAUCAAGGACAUCAUUGUUUAGUAUAAUUUCUUAUUAAAGGUAAAUAUCCCCAUAUUUAGAAAAAAUUGCAUUGCUAGUUGCAAAUCUUAAACACCUCAAUGCUGAAGGAUCCUGUAUUUCCCCCCCAAAGAUCCAGCAGCACAGAGGCUUUCAGAACACAAACUCAAAAAUAUAGUAUUUUCAGGGCAGCAUUUUAAGUUUCAGAAACCCAAACAAAACAAAACAAAACAAAAUCAGAAUUAGGAAUGUGAAAGUGAUGGUUCUCAAAAAGUCAAUCUGGAAGCAGAUCUGCCAACAUAAGAAUGUGGUUGAACAGAGUCUAACCAGGAAAAGGAGAGAUGCAAACUCACUCCCCCUCCCCCCUCGCCAUCGUCCCCCGCCCCCAGCGAGCAAACCGCCUCCCUGCUCUGUGCUGUCUCUCGGAUGGCGUCCACCUCCGGGGCCAUGGCGAAGCACGAGCAGAUCCCGGUCCUCGACCUGCCCACAGACCUCAAAUUCAAAGGCCCCUUCACAGAUGUAGUCACUAUAAAUCUUAAAUUGCAAAAUCCAUCGGAUAGAAAAGUGUGUUUCAAAGUGAAGACUACAGUGCCUCACCGGUACUGUGUGAGGCCCAACAGUGGAAUUAUUGACCCAGGGUCAACUGUGACUGUUUCAGUAAUGCUACAGCCCUUUGACUAUGAUCCGAAUGAAAAGAGUAAACACAAGUGUAUGGUACAAUUUUUGCUCCACUGAACACUUCAGAUAUGGAAGUUGUGUGGAAAGAGGCAAAACCUGACGAAUUAAUGGAUUCCAAAUUGAGAUGUGUAUUUGAAAUGCCCAAUGAAAAUGAUAAAUUGAAUGACAUGGAACCUAGCAAAGCUGUUCCACUGAAUGCAUCUGAACAAGAUGGACCCAUGCCAAAACCACACAGUGUUUCACUUAAUGACACCACAACAAGGAAACUAACAGAAGAGUGUAAAAGACUCCAGGGAGAAAUGAUGAAGCUAUCAGAAGAAAAUCGACACCUGAGAGAUGAAGGUUUAAGGCUCAGAAAGGUAGCACAUUCGGAUAAACCUGGAUCAACCUCAACUGCAUCCUUCAGAGAUGUCACCAGUCCUCUUCCUUCACUUCUUGUUGUAAUUGCAGCCAUUUUCAUUGGAUUCUUUGUUUUUUGGAGACGGAGUCUCACUCUUGUCCCCCAGGCUGGAGUGCAGUGGCAUGAUCUCGGCUCACUGCAACCUGUCUCCUGGGUUCAAGCAAUUCUCCCACCUCAGCCUCCCUAGUAGCUGGGAUUACAGGCGCCCACCACCACACCCAGCUAAUUUUUGCAUUUUUAGUAGAGACGGGGUUUCACCAUGUUGGCCAGGUUGGUCUCGAACUCCUAACCUCAGGCGAUCCACCCGCCUUGGCCUCCAAAGUGCUGGGAUUACAGGCGGGAGCCACCAUGCCCGGCCUUCAUUGGAUUCUUUCUAGUGAAAUUCAUCUUGUAGAGUGAAGCAUACAAAGUGCUAUUUCUUUUUUUUUUUCUUGACCAGAAAAAGAUUCGUUUACCUACCAUUUCAUUGAUAGUAUGGCCUGCGGUGACCAUUUUCUUUUGUGUGUGUACAGCGCCAUAUAGGCUUUGCAUUUAAUGAUCUCUUAUGGUUAGAAAACACAAUAAAAACAAACUGUUUGGCUACUGGACAAAUUGUAUAUUACCAGAUCAUCACUAGCAGGUUUCAGUUGCACAUUCAAUCCUUUAUGAAAUUCAUAAAGAAUUGUUCUGGGAAGUGGGAAGCGCCUCUGCCCAGCCCCCAUCCCAUCUGGGAAGUGAGAAGCCUUUCUGCUUGGCCGCCCACCCUCUGGGAAGUGAGAAGCGCUUCUGCCAGGCCCCUGCCCCAUCUGGGAAGUGAGGAGGGCCUCUGCCUGGGGGCUGCCCAUCUGGGAAGUGAGAAGCGCACCUGUCUGGCCGCCCACCCUCUGGGAAGUGAGCAGUGCUCUUCCUGGCUGGCUGCCCACCCGCUGGGAAGCAAGGAGCACCUCUGCCCAGCUGUCCCACCAUCUUGGAAGUGAGGCACACCUCUGCCCGGCCCCUGCCCUGUCUGGGAAGUGAGGAGUGUCUCUGUCCGGCCACUGUACCUUCUGGGAAGUGAGGAAUGCCUCUGCCUGGCCACCCACCAUCUGGGAAGUGAGGCACGCCUCUGCCUGGCUGUUGCACUGUCUGGGAAGUGAGGUGCGUCUCUGCCUGGCUGUUGCACUGUCUGGGAAGUGAGGUGCGUCUCUGCCUGGCUGUUGCACUGUCUGGGAAGUGAGGUGCGUCUCUGCCUGGCUGUUGCACUGUCUGGGAAGUGAGGUGCGUCUCUGCCUGGCUGCUGCACUGUCUGGGAAGUGAGGAGCGCCUCUGCCCGGCUGCUGUGCAACCCUCCAAGUGUGAAGUGACAGCCUUAUGUGUGAUCUUUUUGCUCUCCCCAAGUUUGCAUUUUCGACAUUAAUAGUAGUUUACUUUUUAAAUAAAAGUUUUAAAUUGGAGAAUAAAAAAAAACUAACUUCAGCUUCUUAUUAUUGGAGAUGCAUGAAAGCUCUACCCACAUACAUGCUAGGAAAAACAGUUCAGAAAACACGGGGGACUGACUCUUCCAAAAGCAGCAGCUGUCUACUCUGCGGCCUACUUCCAAGGGCCACUGUAAGAGGAAGCCUGGGCUGCAGCAUUCGGAGGUAGCAGCAGCAGAGACGGGAAGGAAGCAGGCCUUGCCUUGUGUGGCAUUCCAGUUCCCUCUGUCAGCAGGGGCCAGAUCCCCCUUCCUUAGCUUCAACUACAAUUUGGCAAAAGCAAUUCUAGGGUAACUGGGGGCAGUAGGGGCGUGAGGGGUUUACUUCCCUCUGCUUAGAUAACAGAGGUAGAAGAAACGCUUUCCAUCAAUUGCUUGGCCUCUAAAUGCCACAGGCAGGCUACUUUUCAUGGCUUUUCAAAGCAUCCAAGCAAUCCAAAGUGGCUUUGAACAGCAGAGUAAGGCCAAGAAGGGUAAAAAGGGGCCAGAGCUGAGGUGUUUGGGCCAGUUCUGGAUCACUCAUAUUGUUGAGGGAGGAAUGGGAGCAUAAGAUAACAAGGAGCCUCAGUCCACUUGAGGAAAUUCUCUGGUUUUGCUGCAGUUUCGCUUCAAACUUCCACAGCAGAAGAAUUUGAAUUCUAAUGCCACAAUAUUGUUGUAAUACCAGGGAUUCUCUAGAGGCAAGUUAAGGCUUUCUGGGCAAAGAAAACAAUUCCAGAUGAUAUUGUGACAGAAUGCUACAGUGAAAUGCUUCUUAAUGACUCUCCUGUCCUGCCUAAAGGACAAAGACCUAUGAGUGACUUCAACUUGACGUGAUGUUUCAGUGAUCUUUACUUCAGCUCUAAGUCGGAAUCAAUGGCACAGGAAAAGAAAAGCCUCUUACAUCUCAGACAUCUGCUUGCCGAGCAAACACAAACAAGAACACGUGUAUUGUUUCUCAGGAGCUGGCAAAAUAGAUCUCAAGUCACACAGUUACAAAGAGAGCUCUCAUUCAGAUGCCGGGCAUAGAAGCUCAGCUACCCAGACAGUUCAGCUUUAAUGAAGACUGUAGUUUUAGAAUGAAAGCCUGAGCAGGAAGGAUUUCUGCCCUGGGAAUUCUCAAUGCUCUGCCUGAGUCACACUGGAGGAUGGAGAUAGGCUCCUCAUUCCAGCGGCCAGCACCUGCCACAGUCACAAGACCACCCUCAGAAUAGCAAGGAUCUUACGAUGACAAUGGGGACUCUGAAGAGAAGCCAGUCAAAGACACAGGGCUUUGGACAAGAUCAAGGGUCUUCACCAGGAAAGCUUAAUGCAGAAGCCCCCUCCCUCCAAGUCCCCUUAGCAUGAGCCUUGAGCCUUGACAUAGUUGUUUCCAUCUGCAAGGGCUGGAGAAGCCAAGUUCACACUGAUGUUCAGCAAUGUUCAAGCAAAUGAUGUG